GGGUUUGUAGCUUAAUAAAAGCGCUCUGUUGAAAACGGAGAAGAUGGAUGAAUGUCUCAGCCCCA
rnacentral:tRNA from 1 species